UACGGAGGGUGCAAGCGUUGCUCGGGAUUAUUGGGCGUAAAGGGUGCGUAGGUGGCGGGGUAAGUCUGGUGUGAAAUCUCGGAGCUCAACUCCGAAACUGCACUGGAUACUGCCUUGCUCGAGUACUGGAGGAGAUUGGAAUUUACGGUGUAGCAGUGAAAUGCGUAGAUAUCGUAAGGAAGACCAGUGGCGAAGGCGAAUCUCUGGACAGUUACUGACACUGAGGCACGAAGGCCAGGGGAGCAAACGGG
rnacentral:rRNA from 1 species